AUGGCUCAGGAUGAACGCUAGCGGCAGGCUUAACACAUGCAAGUCGAGGGGCAGCGCGGGGUAGCAAUACCCUGGCGGCGACCGGCGAAAGGGUGAGUAACGCGUGAGCAACGUGCCCGUAUGUGGGGGAUAGUCGAUGGAAACGUCGCGUAAUACCCCGUAACACACUUCCCCGCAUGAGGAGGUGUUGAAAGAUUUAUUGCAUACGGAUCGGCUCGCGUGCCAUUAGGUAGACGGCGGGGUAACGGCCCACCGUGCCGACGAUGGCUAGGGGUUCUGAGAGGAAGGUCCCCCACAUUGGAACUGAGACACGGUCCAGACUCCUACGGGAGGCAGCAGUGAGGAAUAUUGGACAAUGGCCGGAAGGCUGAUCCAGCCAUGCCGCGUGCGGGAGGACGGCCCUAUGGGUUGUAAACCGCUUUUGCGAGGGAGCAAUAAGGGCAACGUGUUGCCCGAUGAGAGUACCUCGCGAAUAAGCAUCGGCUAACUCCGUGCCAGCAGCCGCGGUAAUACGGAGGAUGCAAGCGUUAUCCGGAUUUAUUGGGUUUAAAGGGUGCGUAGGCGGUUUGCUAAGCGGGAGGUGAAAUGCCGGCGCUCAACGUCGGAAGUGCCUCCCGAACUGGUGGACUGGAAUGACUCUGCCGUGGGAGGAAUGUGUAGUGUAGCGGUGAAAUGCUUAGAGAUUACACAGAACACCGAUUGCGAAGGCAUCUCACGAA
rnacentral:rRNA from 1 species